rnacentral:rRNA from 1 species
UACGAAGGGGGCUAGCGUUGCUCGGAAUCACUGGGCGUAAAGCGCACGUAGGCGGCUUCUUAAGUCAGGGGUGAAAUCCUGGAGCUCAACUCCAGAACUGCCUUUGAUACUGGGAAUCUCGAGUCCGGGAGAGGUGAGUGGAACUGCGAGUGUAGAGGUGAAAUUCGUAGAUAUUCGCAAGAACACCAGUGGCGAAGGCGGCUCACUGGCCCGGUACUGACGCUGAGGUGCGAAAGCGUGGGGAGCAAACAGGG